GGGGGCUUAGGACUUAUGGGGAGCGCAGCGCACAGCACGACUAGGUCUUGACGUUUUAAGGGGUUGUCUGCUGGUACUUCGAAGCCAACGCUAGGUACCUGCGCGCGCCGCCGCAGCGACUCUGCGUGGCGCACGUCGACUGCCUGUGCCGGCAUGAGAGGCUACACUUCAGGAAGGAGCGGCGGUUCGAGAGGCGCCGCGUCGGGCAGGGGCGGCUCAGGUAGGCGGAGAGGGAGUUGGCGAGCGUCCUCGAGGCAAGUGGCCUGGGGAGCCGGUGGGAGCGGCGGGAGCCGGAGCGUAGGCCACUGGAGGAGAUAAAGUGCGAGAGGCGUCUCAAUAAUAGCGUCGGUAGCGGAGGACUUUAGGAAGGGGCAUUGGGAUCGGGCCAAUGUCGGAGCUAGCCCGUUUAACGAAGGCCAAGGUUUAGAGGACCCCUCCGGCCACCUAGGAGCAGUGACGGAGUUUUAGAUGUGUAUGUCGGACAGACAAGCAGCCACGGCGUUUUAGAUGUGUAUCUCGGAUAGAGAAGCAGCUCCGGCGCUUGGGAGGUGCACCUCGGAUCAAACGGGCACCGUAGACUAGGCGGGCUACACCACUACCGCCUCCGGCAGGUGCGCGGGUUCUCGAACAGCUCGGAACACUAACCCUAAGAGUUCGCCGUCUACCUCCGCCUCCUACGACCCCCGCGUCUACCAUGGCAAUAGGUAGCGGAUCGACACCGGGACGUCCGUCGAGACCAGCUACGACCGAAGGAACGCCUCUUAGGCUACCCCAGAGCGGAGCCUAACGACUUCCUGACCCGGAGCCCACGUCGCCGUUGUGACUGGCAUUUUAUGUGGGAUGGCCUCGAACAGCGGUACGAUGGGCUCCCACUUCUCCCCUUCUGCCACCAAAACUUGACGAGUAACUACGGCUUAAAACACUACUAUAUACCCACACACGGGCCCCGUGUGAGUCUUCACGCGUCUAACACGAACCUCAAUGGUUUCGACCGCGGCGACGAUAUAGACCUAUCGUAACUUCACCCACGUUGUCUCCUCUUCCUCUAUGAACUCGAAACCUCCCACGACUUCCUACUCGACACAGAAGGCGACUACUAUAGAAACACGGUUGAGUUACCCAACGCGAACGGUGGUACGAACUACCGUAACGGUCCACUAGACUUCCGAUUUCAGAACCUCAAACAAGGACCCCAACUAGAACGUUCCCAAGUCACGCGUACGUUCCUUAACGUCCUAGAACGUCGUCUACUAUUAGAAACCUUCUACUCCGAACUUGACCUCUACUCAGGAAGAUCGUUCCCAAGACCUACCUCGCCUUUAACCUUCGUUUCCAAACACCGUCGAACCUUCCACCUGUUGUCAUCCUCCGUAGUGUUCUCUGGUGGGUCGGGUUCCAAAAGCCCGAUACCAACCCCCUAGCCAUGUGCAUUGGGUGAAUUGAAGGGUCAUUAACCACCACUAAGCCUGGCAGACGGGAAAUAUUUAGUGUUAUAGGAACCCGCAUCAAAACCUUUAGUCGCCUCCUUGUAGAGCGGGUUGACGUUAAAACUCCCAGUAGCGGUUCCCAAAGGAACUAAAUUCAAAAGUGAUCAUAGAGUUCAUACGUUACGUAUCCGACGGAACAUGUACAAAUAUUCAACGUACGGUCACGAGAAUAGGAGCACUUGAAAAAACAGACAUAGAGUCUAGGAUACAGAACAGCAAAGAGGCCAAUAAGGAACGAUACUGUGGUUUCAUGAAGACGAGACUAGAUCGGUUGCGGUACUAGCUAAUACAUUAUUUAUCAAACCUGAAUACCAUGGCUCUCGAAUUGAAACGAGAGAUAUGUACAAAGCCAUAGUCGAGAGUAGACCGUCAAAUUAUGACGGAGGCU
rnacentral:rRNA from 1 species